rnacentral:misc_RNA from 1 species
UUCUUCCAUCAAUUUCUUAUCUCCGCCAUCAUGCCAAAUUCUUGUGUCACCAGGAGGGAUAGUCUCCAUCUUAGCAUUGAAAUCCUCUGUACUCCUUAAGUAGUUAAUUCCAAUUCAAUACCACUACCGCAAGAAUCUUCAGAUAUACAGAUGCUGGUUUUUAAAGCUUGAAUGGACUCCAUCAUCUCCCCCAUUUGCUCUUGAACCAACCUGUGAAAGCUUACCCGUGUUUCCUUCAAGGCUUCAACUCCUUUUGUCUUUAUAUUCAUCUCUCACACGUUCAAAAAUAUCCAGCAAUUUCUUUUGUUGCCAAGGUUGUAGGUCCAUGACUUGAUGAUCUAAUUGUAUUUUGUUUCUAAGAAAACUGAGGAAGAAAAUUUGAGGAAGCAAAUAGUGAAAGAAAGCCCAACUGAUAGAAGAGUCUAGGAUCGUUCUUUAAAUCUGGAAUUACAAGAACUUCAAGAAUAGGAUUUCAGUAUAAUCUAGAAUUUCAAAAACUUCAAGAAACAAAG